rnacentral:rRNA from 1 species
UGCGUAGGGCGCAAGCGUUGUCCGGAAUUAUUGGGCGUAAAGAGCUCGUAGGCGGCUUGUCACGUCGGAUGUGAAAGCCCGGGGCUUAACCCCGGGUCUGCAUUCGAUACGGGCUAGCUAGAGUGUGGUAGGGGAGAUCGAAUUCCUGGUGUAGCGGUGAAAUGCGCAGAUAUCAGGAGGAACACCGGUGGCGAAGGCGGAUCUCUGGGCCAUUACUGACGCUGAGGAGCGAAAGCGUGGGGAGCGAACAGG